rnacentral:rRNA from 1 species
UUUAUGGAGAGUUUGAUCCUGGCUCAGGAUAAACGCUGGCGGCGUGCCUAAUACAUGCAAGUCGAGCGAACGGACGAGAAGCUUGCUUCUCUGAUGUUAGCGGCGGACGGGUGAGUAACACGUGGAUAACCUACCUAUAAGACUGGGAUAACUUCGGGAAACCGGAGCUAAUACCGGAU